UACGUAGGCAGCGAGCGUUGUUCGGAGUUACUGGGCGUAAAGGGUGUGUAGGCGGUUGUUUAAGUUUGGUGUGAAAUCUCCCGGCUCAACUGGGAGGGUGCGCCGAAUACUGAAUGACUUGGAGUGCGGGAGAGGAGAGUGGAAUUCCUGUGUAGCGGUGAAAUGCGUAGAUAUCAGGAGGAACACCGGUGGUGUAGACGGCUCUCUGGACCGUAACUGACGCUGAGACACGAAAGCGUGGGUAGCAAACAGG
rnacentral:rRNA from 1 species